UUGAUUGUAAUUUUUCUUUAAAGUUUUUUAUCGAUUUCAUCGUUUCCAAUAGACAAGCAGACGAAUUUGUGACAUUAGAACGAAAGAUUCGAUACGUGUUAAGCGGGAGCUAAUAAAUGUUCGCGUUCCGUUUUAAUCAUUCUUUUGGCUACUCGUUAACCCCCAGAAAUUUGAAAUUUUUUAAUAACAAACCUGAAGGGCACUCUUUUUCACGACACACGAUUGUUUGAAGGUUUAUUUUCACUAGACAUAGAUAGUCAUUUGAAUGGUGCAGUUCCUAUCCUCAGCCCUACAGUGUGCAAAAAUAGAUUGUGGAAAAAACUGCCCAUGCUGAAUCUGCACAAUGCUGGCUUCAUGACUACACAGCAUUAAAAGACUCUUCCCUUAAGGAAGUAGCUGUGGACUUUCUUUAGAUGACUCUUGUAUCAGAAAUAUUUUCCUGCUUCUUGGAACAAGGAACAUAGGAUGCCUUGAUGCCAAUGAAGUGUCAUUGGAAAGAUUCAGGAGAAACCUAAAGUUGGAGGAUGAUACAUUUGUUUCCCAUUACUAGUUUUGUAAAACAAAUGCUUCCCAGGCAGACACCCAUCCACAAAGCCAUGGGUGAUAGAUGAUAUUCACAGCGGCACGACUGCGUUGUAAAUUGGAAUCACUUUUAUAAAGCCAAACAGGUAUAACAAAAAUAGCAUUUAAAAAUUUUUUUGUAUAGAAUUAUGAUGACUCGGCUAUUAAGUAAUGAAAUCGAAUUUUUAAGUUUUGUUACGUUUGAAAGUUACCCAAGAUUAUCGUAUCUCAUUGUUAUUCAUCAUAUAUGUCUGUGUAAUUCAUUGCUGGGAAACUAUAUUACAUGGACUUGUUGUGUCAGUGUUAUAAUACUAUGUGUUGAAACAUGUUUUACUGCCUGUCCUCCGUGAUUGGAGCAGCAAUGUGCCUAACUGACCUGAGGAAAUGAAACAACUGUUGCGUCAUCUAGCGGUCAAGAUUCAAACCUUUAGGAAACCCCACUCACUGGAGGAGGAGUUAAAUUUUCGGUUGCUAGUUGUUGAUUAUUUUCAGCAAAAAAAUAAUAAUAAAUGGCACUACACGAGGUGCUGAAAAAAAGGGAGAUUGGAAAUGACAAAGAAAUGAGUUCUGUUCUUCGCCUCAUUUUUGCCUCAUCGUCAUCAAGCUGAUCGUCUUCGCUUCGCCAUCCUCGCUUCACCGUCCUCGCUUCACCGUCUUCACCUCGCCGUCUUCACCUCGCCACACCGUCUUCGCUUUGCCUUCUUCAAAUUGAUCGUCUUCGCCUCGCCGUCUUCGCCUCGCCGUCUUCGCCUCGCCGUCUUCGCCUCGCCGUCUUCGCCUCGCCGUCUUCGCCUCGCCGUCUUCGACUCGCCGUCUUCGACUCGCCGUCUUCGACUCGCCGUCUUCGCCUCAUCGUCUUCGAUCGCGCCCGUCUUCGUCUCAUCGCUGUCAUCGUGGAAACUCGCGUUUUUGGUAGUUUGUUUUGUUUUGUUUUGUAUUGGUGUAUAGUGUAUGUUUAAAGUUAACCCGUUGGCUGCCACCCAUUUUGCUCCCCUUUUUUUUUAGGUGUAGGGACCGGCGGCGCUGUUCUGCCUCAUGGUUGAUCACCCAUGGGGUGGGGCAGUCGCCUUGCGCCUUAGGGCGCCGUAGGCAAUGCACCAGUAGGGACUUCCCCUUGUCGAUGCGAUGGUGGAGUACCUGGGGUGUGCAUUCCCGUAAAGGUCUCCAUCGUCAAGUCAGCCCGGACUUGUCUUCGGACAAGUCCCCCUUUCAUCGGAUCCCUCUGAAACGAUGCGUAGUAACUGUA
rnacentral:lncRNA from 1 species